CUAGUGCUUAAAUAGGAUUAAAAAUCCAUAAAAUAUUCGUGGUAGCUUGGAAAAUUACGAUUCUUUUCGCAAUAGCUUAGUAAUAUUGCUAAGGACCGCGGGGCAAAGUUUUAUAAUUUUUAGAGCUGGUUUAGGCAGUUUUUGCAAAAAUGAUCAAUAAUAAGGACAAAAUUGAAAUUUUGCAUAUUGUGAUGAAUGACUGAUUUGAUGGGCCCAGGAGGGGCUGUGUGAUAUGAUUGAACUGUUGAUGUAUGGAUUGUGAGUAUAGAAGUGCGUUUUUAGCCCUUUUGCAGGUUGGGUAGGUCCUAGGUAUAGGGGAGACUCUGCCGGAUUUUCGGCACGACUUAGGACGUACUUGAUCUUUUUCAUUGUUUGUAUUGAGUCAAAUUUAUUAAAUAGAUGUAAUGUAAUUGUCAGGUGAGCCGGGACAGCCUUCUUCCUCCGCCCAGCCGCCACAGUAAUUUGUCGUCAAGUCUGCCACAGGAGGAUAUUUUGUUCUGGGUUAACCUGCUUUUCUCCUUCGCAGGUGUUUAUCAAUAAUUGUGUAAUUUUAUUUACUCCUAGAAUUUCCGCAUGUGUUAGCAGUAAUUAUUUGAAUUUGGUCUGUAAUAUUAUAUUCAUGUUGGACCUGUAAACUUAAUAUUUUAAGUCUGUUUUGAUGGAUUGGAUGAGGGAGCUGAGCUCCCAUUUAUUAUUA